rnacentral:sRNA from 1 species
ACUGGGUGUGGUGGCGCAUGCCUGUAAUCCUAGCAGUUUGGGAGGCUGAGGCAGGAGUGUCAUGAGUUCAAAGCCAGCCUCAGCAAUUUAGGGCUGCCCUAAGCAAUUUAGCGAGACCCUGUCUCUA